GUUGCUUCCACACCUGCACCCAAGGCUGAGCCUGCCAUCAUCCCUGCCACCCGGAACGAGCCCAUCGGGCUGAAGGCCUCCGACUUCCUGCCCGCCGUGAAGAUCCCCCAGCAGGCCGAGCUGGUGGACGAGGAUGCCAUGUCACAGAUCCGCAAAGGCCAUGACACCAUGUGUGUGGUGCUCACCAGCCGCCACAAGAACCUGGACACCGUGCGGGCUGUGUGGACCACGGGCGACAUCAAGACGUCGGUGGACUCUGCUGUGGCCAUCAACGACCUGUCGGUGGUGGUGGACCUCCUGAACAUCGUCAACCAGAAAGCGUAAGUGGCUGCAGAGGGGGAGUGGGCGGAGGGGCAGGGCUGGGCUGAUGGCAGCAUGUCCUGGCCUCUCCUAGCUCCCUGUGGAAGCUGGACCUGUGCACCACGGUCCUGCCACAGAUUGAGAAGCUUCUGCAGAGCAAGUAUGAGAGCUACGUCCAGACGGGCUGCACCUCCCUGAAGCUGAUCCUGCAGCGGUUUCUGCCCCUCAUCACAGACAUGCUGGCAGCCCCACCCUCCGUGGGUGUGGAUAUCAGCAGGGAGGAGAGGCUGCACAAGUGCCGGCUCUGCUACAAGCAGCUCAAGAGCAUCAGCGGCCUGGUCAAGAGCAAGUCAGGCCUGAGCGGCCGC
rnacentral:sRNA from 1 species